rnacentral:lncRNA from 1 species
UAGUUUUCAAGUACUUCUUUCAUGUUAAUGUUCCUUGUGGUGCUUUGCUCAUUUACAAUUCUUGUUCUUGGUUCAAGUGCGUACAAAACUUCCUUGAGUUUUCCAAGACGAAAUCCAUUCUAACUCAAGAGUAGGCUCAUUCCCAAGCACUCACAAGUUGAUAGCCGGCUUACAACACUUGAAAGGCCAAGUGAGAGAUCCGAGUGAAAAGAGUGUGAGAUUAUUUUGAACUAACGUUUGCUUUUUUAUAGGUAUAUUUUCAAAUGGAACCACCACACAUGGAACCCGAAACUUCCAAUGCAUACACCAUGGACCAUAAUGUUUUGAAUGCUCUUGUGGCUAAUCUUGAAUCCUUGUCUCGGGAUGUGGAUAGAAUGAAUAUGGAUCUUGAUAAGUUGGGAGUGGAAUUGGCCUCUAUUAGUGGCCAAAUAUAAAGGGUAGAAAUCCAAUGAGUUCUCGAUCCUUAACUCCUCAAAACACUUCCCUAACCAUUACCCCCGAAGCCAUGCACCAAAGAAUGUAUCAACCAAAUGCCAUACCUCAAGCCAACUAUUACUUAGAAGGACUAGGCCUUGAUGGACCUAGCCAUUCCCCAUCCCACCAAGUCCCACAUGAAGGACUUGGAACCCAAAAUCUACCCUUAAAUCCGAAUCCGCCAAUCCAAAGAGAUCCUCCACUAAAUACCAAUCCACAAAAGCAAAGUCCAUCAACCCGAUAGCCAAGUAGACCUAUAUAUUCCCCAUUGAACAAAGUCCAACAAGAAGUACUUAGUACUCAAAUGCUACCUAAAAAUCCAAAGUACCACAUUCCAAACCCACUUGACCAAAGGCCUUACCCUUCACAAGUCCAAACACCUCAAGUCUAAAGACCCUACACUCUACUAAAUCCAACAUCCCCUCCCCAAGCUACACUAACCCGGAAAUACCCCACCCAAGUAGAAGAAGAGAGAGAGUUGGGAUCCAAGGAGAAUAAGGCCAAGCCUAAAGAUGGAUAGAAACUUAGUUGUGAGAUACAGGAAGAAUGUGAAGAAAAAAGAGAAAGGGAAAGACUGCUGGUGGUGAAGUAGGAAAGGGAAAGAAAAAUUUGCUUGUGGGAUUUGCCCACAAAGGAUCUUUGAUACUCACUAACUCAUAUUCUAGCACUUUCCCUAGCAUUUAUCCUUCUUAUGUACAGGUUCAAGUUUAUAUACUAUCAAAGAAGGAUUAAAAAAGGGUUUCACACGAUAACAUGGGAAUUAAGCUAGUGAUAACCUUGGCCGAGAGCUCCAAACAAGUUGAAUGCCAUGGCAUACACCGAGGUAUCAUUUCUACACUCUACAUUUCCUUAGGCUUGAAAUGUUGUGAUAAGGAUAUUAGUAUCCAAUGUGAAGUAACUUCGGGUUUACAUAGUGUAGAAAAGCAGGAAUCUUUCCUUGGUAGUUCUCUUGUUGCAUAUGUUGGUUAAUUUUCUCUUAAGAAUAGUUCACUACUUCAUCAUGUGAGUGAUGUGAUUCAAAAUCCUCAAGUUAGUGUUCAUUCUUGUAAUAUAGACCAUGAUAUUGGACAUACUCCUUGGAGCUUGUGUGAUGCAAACCAUGCUACUAGUUUUGCUCAAGGUAAUCAUAUGCUUGGAAAACUUUUGAAUAAAGGCGUGCUUGCUCUUAACAGAAGACUUCUAGGCCACAAAUCUUUAGUCUUGGAUGAUAGCCUAGUAAAAGGAUUGGUUAAUCUUGGCUUAUACCCUUGAUUACACCAUCCCUUUGAUCCUAGAACAUUAGUUGGUUGGGAAAGGGGUUGCCUCGGCUUAUGCUUAUCUUUCCUUGAUGAUUAUCUUAUCCCUAUCCUUUGUAAUGUUCAAACUACAUGUUUCAUGGUUAAAACAAAGGAUUUCUAGUUGUAUUUUAAAAGUGUACCCCCUCGGCAAGAUGUCUUCACACUUGAUUCCUUUCUAUUCUACCUCUUUACCUAUGAUGAUAACCAUGUUAUUUUCGAAUUUGUAUUGUGUAGUGGUAGGAAAUUUGAUGGUUGGUUUACUUGUUUGCAUGAUGGUAAUAUGUGGUUGAGGUGGAUCUUAAGAUCAAUAGUGGCACUAUAUUUGAUGAGGUCCUUUGUAGAAGUAAUAAAACAAUUGUAUCUUAUGGUUUCUAAGAUAAAGGUAGUCUUACCUUUUGGGUAUCGUAAAUCCAUUAAGACCAUUGUAGUUCUCUUAUAUCUUGAUAUUUGUCAGAGUCACUUCCUUUGUGCCAUUCAUGCUAAGUUUUUCAUGUCACUCACAAAGGACCCGUGGGUAUAUUCCAAAUGUGAACAACCUUGGCUUGAUGACAUAUGUGAUAGUUUUGGAUUGCACUCCUCUUUCAUUGAUUUUUAUCUUAUCCAUGUGCUUUGAGAUGCUUGUGGUACCUGUUUCAUGAUCAUAACAAAGGAUUGUUGGUUGUAUUCAAAAAGUUUACCUCCUUGGCAUGUCUAUAUAAUUUGUGGUACUAAUGCUAACCCUCCUAUCAUGAGGAUUGUUUGCUUGUUUUCUCUCUCUUUGGUUUUGCAAGGUGUGACUUUGAGGACAAAUUCCUUUCAAGAUGUAGAGGAUAAUACAAGCAUGAGGAGCACAAGGAUUAUAAGCUUUUGUUGAAGGUCCAAGUUUCAGAUUUUCAAAGUGAUUUGAAGACCUUUUGAAUGCUUUUUCAAAGUCUUGUCCAAGCUUAGGAACUACAAAGACUACAAGGCGCGUUAAUGAAAAUGGAUGCAUUUGAUCUUGUUGUGAACUCUCCCAAGGGAGUGUACACCUUGACAUGUGAGGGUUUGCCUUCGGUUCUCAAAAAUACACCCAAGGUUGCCCUAAAUAAACUUCAUACCCACCACCCUCAUUAAGGGAAAAGGAGUCCUUUUACAACACCUUUUGUAAUAGACUAUUUAAAUUUUUUCCUUAGUCUUGUUCCUCAGUUAGCUUAUUCUUGAAAUAACUUGUAAUAUUGAACAGAACUUUCCUAUCAAAAAGAGAGUAGACCACCACUUUGACAUCACAAAAAGUGGUUUCUUCUUAUGUUGUGUGUAUCGGCUAGAAAUGAAAGUGCUUGAGCGAACCGAGCUCCUCUUGUAUUCCGUAAGAACGUGGUGCUUGUUAAAUUGUUUUGUGGAGGUUUUGGAGUAUUAAUACACUCUUUAUUUGUUGCA